UCUGGCCAGGUUCAUGUCUGUGCGGAACGGGCGUGGGUUGGGUUACGUGUUUAUAAAGGGAAAACGAACGCAUCUCUCGCACUGCUGCAGAGCAGUUUGAGCCUUAGCAGAAACUUCGUUUGAACUGGCUUUCUGCCGGCUGUGUCACAAACUGCGUUGUGACUGAGCAGGAGUCCGAGUCGCAGUGAAGUAUUCUGAGCUUUAACCGAAUAAACUGGGUGUUUCGGCAGACCUCAGUACAAAAUUGUGGAAGCUGUUGUGAAGUGCUCAGGGGACGGAUGGAGCGUUUGAAAACUGGAAGUGACCGUGGCAGGAAUUCAGGCUUUAAGCCACCUCUGAUGGAACAGUUCUUGCAAACACUGAAGUGCCAGGGAGCUGGCACCUGCCCGCUGUCGGUGCAGCGUGACUGAGGAGCUGGUCAGCCAUCUCGCCCUCAGCGGUCUUCCGUCUGCGGCAGGCUGGCUGUGGUCGCGUGCUCUGGGUUACAAAACUGACUCUUAAGUUUAAAGCAAAAAACCAAACCACACAACAGAAAAAAAAGUGUCUCCAUAAUGAAGGUUGCAUCUCUUUGCAAAGAACACAGGCGUCUUGCUGCAGAAUUACCAAGAAGCCAAACCCCUCUUCUUCAGUAGGGUUUGUCCUCCUCUUCUGGCCUGUCGCUUUGCAAGUCUGGAGGAGCGGCUCUUCCUACUGACAAGAAGCCCUGGGAGACCCUGGCACCUCACCCACGUGGUGAAUCGCUGUGGGCCUGGGCUGCACAGCAGUUCAAGAGGUGAGUCCCAGCUGCCCGCUCUGCUCCCGGUCACGCUUUCUGUGAUUGCACAGUCAGCAGGUCUGGGGGGCUGAUCUAACCUCGCCCCCCUCCAAAAAGGUGAUGGUGCCUUGGAAAGAGAGGGAAUAAAUGGCAGGAUGAGCGGAAGGCUGGGACUGUGCCAGGCCUGUUUAGACUGUGGAACGCACCUGAAGGGAAUGACUCACAAAACAUCCUUGUUUUGUCAUUCACUGUGCCCAUUCAUGCAGCUGGAGUGUGAAGGCCUGAUGGAACAGUUUGAUGCAGCCUGUCCGUGGCAGAAUGUUAUUUAACCUUGUCAUGCUGCAAGUGUUAACCAGCCUGGCCAUCCCAAAGGCUUUAAACUAAAGUUGCAGGGGGAGAGGAACCUCAGUCCAUCCUGCUCCUACCAGUUUGAUGCCAGUGCCAGCAAGAGAUGCCCAGAGAGGGAUUUCAGGUGAGCAGGAGAGCACCUGAAGAGCACCACAAAGGAAUUCCAGCCAUUCCAGCCGGUAAGUCAGCUUCAUGGGGGCCCAACUUCAAUGCCUCUAUGCAAACACGUGUAGCACAGGGAAUAAACAUGAGGAGUUAAGAGACAUGUGCAUGCCUGCAGGGUUAUGAUCUUAUUGGCAUCAUGGAGACAGUGGUGGGAUGGCUCCUAUGACUGGAGUGUUGGGAUGGAAGGAUGCAGGCUCUUCAGGAAAGACAGACAGGAGAGACAAGGAGGCGAUGUUGCUCUCUAUGUCAACGACCAGGUGGAGGGCAUGGAGCUCCUCCUCAGGAUGAAUGAAGAGCAAUGGGAGAGUUUACAGGAGAGGACCAAAGGGAGGGAAGGGACAGGUGACAUUAUAGUGGGGGUCUGCUAGAGGCUGCCCAACCAGGUAGUCUAAGCAGAUGAGGCCCUCUAUAGACAGAGAGGGGCAGCUCAUGUUCACAAGCCCUGCUCCUCACGGAAUUUCAGCCACCCCAAUGUCUGUUGGAGGGACUACACAGCAGGGCAUAAGCAAUUCAGGAGGUUCUUGGAACACAUUGAUAACUUUCUUUUCCAAAUGGUAGAGGAGCCAACGAGGAGAGAUGCUAUGCUGGAACAAGGAGGGGCUGGUGAGACAUAUGAAGCUCAAAGACAGUCUUGUCUGCAGUGACCAUGAAACAGUAGAUUUCAGAUCCUUAGGCCGUUGAGGAGGGUGCACAGCAAUCUCAUUAUCCUGCACUUCAGGAAAGCAGAAUUUUGCCCAUUUCAGGGAUCUGUUGGUAGGGUACUAUGGGAUAAAGCCCUGGAGGGAAGAGGGGCCCCAGAAAGCCGGUUAGUAGUCAGGGAUCACCUCCUCCAAGCUCAGGAGUGAUGUGUCCCAACAAAGAGGAAAUUGGGCAAAACCACCAGGAGGCCUGCAUGGAUGAACAAGGAGCUCCUGGACAAACUCAAACACAGAAAGGAAGCCUGCAUAGUGUGGAAGCAAGGAGGUAGCCUGGGAGGAAUACAGAGAAAUUGUCUGAGAAGCCAGGGAUCAGGUUAGCAAAACUAAAGUCCUGUUAAACCUGACCAGGGACAACAGGAAAAACUUCUAUAGGCUCGUCAUGAUAAAAGGAAGACUAUGGAAUAUGUGGGCCCUCUCCAGAAGGAAGCAGGAGACCUGGUUACCUGGGACAUGGAGAAGGCUGAAGUACUUAAUGACUUUUUUGCCUCACUCUUCACCAGCAAGUGCUCCUGCUGCACCACCCAAGUCACAGAAGGCAAAAGCAGCAACUGAGAGAAUGAAGAAAUACCUGCUGUAGGAGAAGAUCAGGUUUGAGGCCAUCUAAGGAACUUGGAGGUGCACAAAUCCAUAGGACCUGAUGAGAUGCGUCCCUGGGCCCUGAGGGAACUGGCAGGUCGAAUGGGUAAGACACUAUCCAUCAUAUUUGAGAAGUCAUAGCAGUCUGGUGAAGUUCUCACUGACUGGAAAAGGGGAAACAUAACUCCCAUUUUUAAAAAGAAAAAAAAGGAAGACCCAAGGAACUAAAGGCUGGUCAGUCUCACUUCAGUGCCCAGCAAGAUCACGGAGCAUAUCCUCCUGGAAACUAUGCUAAGGCACAUGGAAAUUAAGGAGGUGAUUGGUAACAGCCAGCAUGGCUUCACUAAGGGUAAAUCAUGCCUGACAGAUUUGAUAUUCUUCUGUGGUGGCAUUACAGCGUUGGUGGAUAAGGGAAGAGCAACUCAUGUCAUCUACCUGGACCUCUGCAAAGCAUUUGACACUGUCUCGCAUGACAUCCUUUUCUCUGAACUAGAGAGACAUGGAUUUGAUGGAUGGACCACUCAGUGGAUAAGGAAUUGGCUGGAUGGUCGCAUUCAGAGAGUUGCACUCAACCCAAUGGCUCGGUGUCCAAGUGGAGACCAGUGACAUGUGCCAUUCCUCAGGGACUGGUAUCGGGACUGGUGCUAUUUAACAUCUUCGUUGGUGACAUGGACAGUGGGAUUGAGUGGCAGCCUCAGUAAGUUUGUUGAUGACACCAAGCUGGUAGUAUGGUACACUGGAAGGGUGGGGUGCCAUCCAGAGGGACCUUGACAGGCUUGAGAGCUGGGCCUGUGUGAACCUCAUGAAGUUCAACAAGGCCAAAUGCAAGAUCCUGCACCUGGGUUGGGGCAGUCCCAAGCACAGAUACAGGCUAGGCAGAGAACAGAUUGAGAGCAGCCCUCAGGAGGGCUUGGGGGUGCUGGUUGGUGAGAAGCUCAACAUGACCCAGCAAUGUGCACUUGCAGCCCAGAAAGCCAACCAAAUCCUGGGCUGCGUCAAAAGAAGCAUGACUAGGAGGUCAAAGGAGGGGAUUCUUCCCCUCUACUCAGCUCUUGUGAAACCCCACCUGGAGUGCUGUGUUCAGCUCUGGAGCCCCAGCAUCAGAAGAUCAUGGACCUAUUGAAGUGAGUCCAGAGGAGGGCCAUGAAAACGAUUAGAGGGCUGGAGCACCUCUCCUAUGAAGACAGGCUGAGAGAGUUGGGGUUGUUCAGCCUGGAGAAGGAAGGUUCUGGUGAGACCUUAUUAAGCAGCCUUCCAAUACCUAAAGGGGGCCUGCAAGACAGUUGGAGAGGGACUUUUUACAAGGGCUAAUGGCUUUAAACUGAAAGAGGGUAGAUUUAGAUUAGAUAUUAGGAAGAAAUUCUUUACUGUGAGAGUGGCGAGUCACUGGAACAGGUUGCCCAGAGAAGCUGUGGAUGCCUCAUCCCUGGAACUGUUCAAGGCCAGGCUGGUUGUGGCUUUGAGUAGCCUAGUUGGCCUAGUGGAAGAUGUCCCUGCCCAUGGCAUGUGGGUGGAAUUAAAUGAUUUUAAGGUCCCUUCCAACCCAACCUAUUCUAUGAUUCUAUGAAAAUGCUGGUGGCUAUAGACACACUAAGCAUUUUUGCUUUCAGCUCCGUUUUCAGUGGUUGUAGUUUCUAUACCAAUAAGUAUGUAUAUUUAUUAGUCACCUAAUAAAUACUGACCUAUUUAUUUAUUAUUUUCACUCUUUAAAUAAGCAAUUCUGUGCACAGAAAAGUAAUUAAAUAAUUUGGCUUUUUUUUUUUUUCUUCUCUGGGUAGAUUUUCUGAUAAUCAAUGAAGAGAACAGGUAGCCUUUCCUUGUUUAAGUCUAUGAAUAUAGUUUCUUUCUUUUACUCAUCUGUAUAUUCAAUGAACUUACAGGAACUUAGUACUUCUGAGACAUCUAGCUCUCUGCCAUUUUUGCUUGAAAUUGGCCACUAGGACUUAAAAGUUAUUGGAUGGGAGCAUGGAGUAGACAGACAUGAAUGUGCUAUCCUCUUUUUCUGAGGAAACCUGACUGUAGAGUCUUUAAUAACCACAAGCAGUCUGAGUUUGCAUUGGUAUUUUUAGACACUAUUUACGUUUGAAGUGCUGUAAUGUAACCCAGUUUUAUAUUGCAUCUGGGGACUGGUUCUAAGCUCACAGGGAAGAAGUAGAAGAUAAGCAGGGAGAGGCAAAAUUGAAGAGUAUUUGACCGCAGCCUGCAGUCCUCCAGUAUGUCUGUCUUCAGAGGCCUGCUGAUUUCAGUGGGGUUUCCGCUGAGCAUAGCAGACUGAUGAAAUUGCAGAGCUGGGACUGUAAUUGUUUCCAGCAUGUGCACAAGGAGAGAAGACAUCAAUGUGAUUCAUGCUCUUUAGGGGAAAAAAAAACCCCAAACCCCAGUCAAUUCAAGGAACAUAACAAGGGGAAAUUUUAAAACAAUAAAGACAUGGGGCUAGCAUUGCAGAGAUGUGGAAUGGAGUCUGAGGUUAGACAGCCACAGACUGAUGUAUGUCUGUCCUUUUCCUCUGUACUUCCUUGGUAGGGAAUGAACACAAGAUCUGGAUGAUUGAGUGGAUCCCAAGCACACACAGUUGACAUUUUCAGUUCCUUGAAGACAGCUAACAGAAAGAAAAUAUGCACAUGGCGUAAAUCAGUUGUCAAUAUGAGGCAACUUCUUUGAGAUUAAUUAAUCCCCCAAACAAAAUCUUUAUUCACAGGGGUAUAGAGAAAAUAACCACACUUAAAUUAUUAUUAAAGCCAAGGACAUGACAGGCUUCCUGGCCAGACAGCCUGUUUCAGUUACCUUGUCUCUUAUGAACCUCAUAACCAUGCCCCAUUACUACCCUAAAAAAACAUGGCAUGCACCCUCUGCCACAUGAAUGAGAAACCCUGGUGUCAGUGAUGGAAACACAUCUGCAUGCACUGGCAGAACAAAUGGUUCCAUAUGUUCUCGGGGGACAGCAGGACACCAAUAGAAGGUAUGUGCUGUGUUAUUUCCUAUUAGUCUGUGGGGAGGGGUCUGGGACGUGAGGACUUUCUUAGUGGAAGUUCUUAGUAGGACAUGUAAGUGGCAACAUGUGGCAUGGUCAUUUCCUUUGCCUGAAGAAUAUGCACUGUGGGAUUUAAUUCCUGAGUAACUUUUCUGUCUUUGACAGAAUUAGUAGUUGCCUCCAACUUGCCUGUUUUAUAGAAUCAGAUAUGUAUGUUGGCAAUGGAGAGAAGCAGGAUGAGAUAUAGUAAAUGAGGCUGAAGAGGAGUCUGGGAAGGAAGGAAUAGUUUGCAGCUAUUUGUAGAAAUAAGGAAAUGGGGCCAUAACAGCUGGGGACAGUGAUGGAAAAAACACCUCAUUUGUGUAAGGAGGCUUUGACAGUGAAGUAGAUUUCAGGUAUGAGGUACACCUUAUUUUUUAUACUCAUUAUAGUGGAUUAAAGACAUAUCAUGAUUUGGGGGAGAAUUUUCUUUUUGAAAACUGUCAGUAAGCUGAUACAUCGAGUGAUAACUAAGACUUUAAUGAUAACAGAUUAUCAUUAAAGGUUAAUGCUUCCAGACUGUACUAUGACUAGCAAAUGCUGUUUUAAAGUAUCUGUGCUUUAUGACUUUAUACCUCUAAUUCAUAGGACAACCUGGACAAGCAGUAAGUCUUACAGAUCACUGUGCUCCACUAUCAACUCAAAGUCUUGGAUUUGGAAAUCUAUCAUGCUUUAUCCUUAGCCUGUCUGUAUGUUUGAUGUCGUGCUCCUGAGAGGAUUGGAUUUUGAUCCUUUGUUACUGUAGACUUUUUGCUUAGAUUGUAAACUGUGUAGAACAAGAAUGUACGCUUAUCUAUGCCUGUAAAGACUUACACAACUUUAUAGCUUAUAAAUACCUAGUGUAUGAGUACUAGAAGUACAUUUGCAUUUCUGUGGACAUUUUUAAAAACUCAGCAGUGAAAAUGUGAAUCAAUAUUCAGAUAAGGAAUCUGCAUCCCUUGGUUCUGUCAGUGACGGCUUUUCCAUUCUCUAAGGUAUAAAGUUAAGCGUCAAUUAGUUAUGGUUUAACCCUAUCUUCUGGGAGGUCUGAAGGGGGAAAAAAUUUCUGCAGUGAAAAAUAAAACAUGAUAUGAAUAUAGCUGAGCUUGACUUCUACAACAGAAUUGUACAGGUUCUUUCACACAUCACCCCCCUUGUGUUAAAAAGGAGAAAAAAACAAAAGCAGUUUUGGACAUUAAGGAAUCUCAAAGGUUCAUCUUGCUAACCAAAAUGGUGGAAGAGGGCUGGACAGCCAUAGCUUUUACAGGAGGAAGUGGUAAAGUUGGCUCUCAGUUCUUCCAGUUCUGCUGUGGCUACCACAGUCACUUCAAAGUGAUUGGAGAUCUCCCAGCAGUGGACAGCCAUAGCUUUUACAGGAGGAAGUGGUAAAGUUGGCUCCCAGUUCUUCCAGUUCUGCUGUGGCUACCACAGUCACUUCAAAGUGAUUGGAGAUCUCCCAGCAGUGUUUCCAGGUGUGCAAAGAAAUUUACCAUAUAGUCUCUGCACUUGACUCCCCUUCUUACUUGAGAAAUAACAAAGCAGCAGAGAGGAAAUAGUGACUUCUUAUCACUGAGUAAUAAUUCUGUGGCCUCUGUAGUCUGGCCAACACAUGGGGAUGUUACUGCCCAGUAAAAUAGGGUGUGAAUUGACACCAGACUGGGAAUUCCACAUUGGUGUCUCUUGAAGACAUUUUUAGAGUAUGCUGAAGGCCCGUUGGUUAAUUUUUGAAAUAAAUUUAUCACAGUUAGCAAGAAGUGUGACUUUCCCAUUAUUUGGAAACCAGUUGAUACUUUACUUGCUGCCUUUCCAAGCUAAGCUAAAUUCCUAAGUUAACUGAAACUGACUUAAAUUACAGCUAAAUGUUUUCACCCUGGUUGUAAGCAGUUGAGCUGUUCGACUUUGUUUAGUAGUGGAACAUGUCCUUUAAGUAUGCGUGGUCAUAUUUUUUGCAGACGAGCCUGAAACUUUACAUGCAGUAGCUUACUCUCUAUGUAAAUGGCAUAGAGUACUGCAGCUGAGGGACUUGUGUACAAGGAGGAGUUAUGACUAAGAUAGGUAGAUAAUUCCAUACUACAAGUAGCUACAUACAUGAAUUUCCUAUAGGGAAAAGCUGUGAAGACUCUGCAGUUUGAAAAUGGAAUAAACUUCUAGCAGGGUGUCAUUUGCUGCACUGUAAAUUCCUAACCUAGCUUAUACACAGUCUUCUGUAGGGUGAUUGUAUGCCCAGAUUUUGCCAGAUGUAUGUUCUCUUUUAUUCUGGCUACUUUGUACAGAUUUAUUUUUAAGGACAUCCUUUAUGUAUCAGGGGUGUCCAGGUACCUGUUAGAUCUAGAAGGCUGAAAACCCCCAGCAGACUACAAAUCCUGUGUGUAACCACAGAGUGCUUGAAUUAUGAGCUCAGGACCAGCUGACUUCAAGUAUGUUUGUUGGCUGAAGAGAAUUUCAAAAUGGAAGAAGAUUAUACAGGAGCUGUGUGUGAGCUACACACUGAGACUGCUGGUACUGAUGUUGACAUACAUAAGUAAUUAGGGAUGAGAACUAACCAAAACAGGAUGUUUAACUGGUGUAACUUGAAGAAAACUCACAGGCCAAACCUGCCUCAAACAAGAGUUUGUGAAUGGAUGCACAUGCCAGACACAUGAUGAGUGUAAGUAUGUGAACCACCUACAAAGCAAACUGUGGACACAGCACAUAUAAUAUUCACAUUGUUUUGUAAAGGGAAUUGUGGUUUCGAUGGCAGCCUCACUGUGUGUUAUUGUGUGAUUAGUGUUUCAGUGUUUGCUAUGUUGUUUGAAUUAAAGAAAACCUGAAUGAU